rnacentral:rRNA from 1 species
GACGAACGCUGGCGGCGUGCUUAACACAUGCAAGUCGAACGGAAAGGCCUCUUUCGGGGGGUACUCGAGUGGCGAACGGGUGAGUAACACGUGAGUAACCUGCCCUUGACUUUGGGAUAACUUCAGGAAACUGGGGCUAAUACCGGAUAGGAGCUCCUGCUGCCUGGUGGGGGUUGGAAAGUUUCGGCGGUUGGGGAUGGACUCGCGGCUUAUCAGCUUGUUGGUGGGGUAGUGGCUUACCAAGGCUUUGACGGGUAGCCGGCCUGAGAGGGUGACCGGCCACAUUGGGACUGAGAUACGGCCCAGAUGCCGACGGGAGGCAGCAGGGGGGAAGAUUGCACAAUGGGUGGAAGCCGGAUGCAGCAACGCCGGGGGCGGGAGGACGGUCUUCGGGUUGAAAACCGCUUUCGCUCAUGACGAAGCUUUGUGUGACGGUAGUGGGUAAAGAAGCACCGGCUAACUACGUG